UUGCAAUGAUGACAAGAAUUUCUUCACCUGAAACACUGUGAUGGUUUAUAGCUUUUUAACCCUGAGCACU
rnacentral:snoRNA from 1 species